rnacentral:rRNA from 1 species
CGUAGGGUGCAAGCGUUGUCCGGAAUUAUUGGGCGUAAAGAGCUCGUAGGCGGUUUGUUGCGUCGGCUGUGAAAACCUGAGGCUCAACCUCAGGCCUGCAGUCGAUACGAGCAGACUAGAGUGUUGCAGGGGAGACUGGAAUUCCUGGUGUAGCGGUGAAAUGCGCAGAUAUCAGGAGGAACACCGGUGGCGAAGGCGGGUCUCUGGGGCAACAACUGACGCUGAGGAGCGAAAGCGUGGGAGCGAACAGGAUU